rnacentral:rRNA from 1 species
AGCGAACGUUAGCGGCGCGCCUAACACAUGCAAGUCGCCCGAGAAACGGAGCAAUCCGCGGUACAGUGGCGCACGGGUGAGUAACACGUGGAUGACCUUCCCUGGAGUGGUGGAUAACCUGCCGAAAGGCGGGCUAAUACAGCAUGGGACCACGACGCUUUGGCGAUGUGGUGAAAGCGGGCCUCUAUAUAUAAGCUCGCGCUCCGGGACGGGUCCGCGUCCCAUCAGCUAGUUGGUGAGGUAACGGCUCACCAAGGCAACGACGGGUAGCUGGUCUGAGAGGAUGGCCAGCCACACUGGAACUGAGACACGGUCCAGACUCCUACGGGAGGCAGCAGUGGGGAAUCUUGCGCAAUGGGCGAAAGCCUGACGCAGCCACGCCGCGUGAGCGAUGAAGGCCUCGGUCGUAAGACUCUGUGGGAGAGACGAAGAAAGACCNGUGAAGAGCAGGCUUGACGGUAGUCUCCUUAGCAAG